rnacentral:rRNA from 1 species
CUACGGGUCGCAGCAGUGAGGAAUUUUGCGCAAUGGGGGGAGCCCUGACGCAGCAACGCCGUGUGAGUGAAGAAGGCCUUUGGGUCGUAAAGCUCUGUCAACUGGGAAGAAGUUACUGUGCUUUAAUAGAGUGCAGUAUUGACGGUACCAGUGGAGGAAGCGUCGGCUAACUCCGUGCCAGCAGCCGCGGUAACACGGGGGACGCAAGCGUUAUUCGGAAUUAUUGGGCGUAAAGGGCGCGUAGGCGGUCUUGUCGGUCAGGUGUGAAAGCCCGGGGCUUAACCCCGGACGUGCACUUGAAACAGCAAGACUUGAGUACGGGAGAGGAAAGCGGAAUUCCUGGUGUAGAGGUGAAAUUCGUAGAUAUCAGGAGGAACACCGAUGGCGAAGGCAGCUUUCUGGACCGAAACUGACGCUGAGGCGCGAAGGCGUGGGUAGCGAACGGGAUUAGAUACCCCCGUAGUC